CGGGCGCGGCGGCGGUCUAAGUCUCUUGGAACGAGGCGUCAUAGAGGGUGAGAAUCCCGUAUGUGACCGGCGACCAAGCCUAUGUGAAACUCCUUCGACGAGUCGAGUUGUUUGGGAAUGCAGCUCAAAAUGGGUGGUAAAUUUCAUCUAAAGCUAAAUAUUGGCCAGAGACCGAUAGCGCACAAGUAGAGUGAUCGAAAGAUGAAAAGCACUUUGGAAAGAGAGUCAAAAAGUACGUGAAAUUGUUGAAAGGGAAGCGCUUGCAACCAGACCUGCCCGCGGGCGAUCAGCCGUCUCUUCGGGGGCGGUGCACGCGCCCGUGUACAGGCCAGCAUCGGUUCGGGCGGCCGGAUAAAGGCCUCGGGAAUGUAGCUCCUCUCGGGGAGUGUUAUAGCCCUUGGCGCAAUGCGGCCAGCCCGGACCGAGGACCGCGCUUCGGCUAGGAUGCUGGCGUAAUGGUUGUAAGCGGCCCGUCUUGAAACACGGACCAAGGAGUCUAACAUCUAUGCGAGUGUUUGGGUGUCAAACCCAUACGCGUAAUGAAAG
rnacentral:rRNA from 1 species